AACGAACGCUGGCGGCAUGCCUAACACAUGCAAGUCGAACGAGACCUUCGGGUCUAGUGGCGCACGGGUGCGUAACGCGUGGGAAUCUGCCCUUGGGUUCGGAAUAACAGUUGGAAACGACUGCUAAUACCGGAUGAUGACGUAAGUCCAAAGAUUUAUCGCCCAAGGAUGAGCCCGCGUAGGAUUAGCUAGUUGGUGAGGUAAGGGCUCACCAAGGCGACGAUCCUUAGCUGGUCUGAGAGGAUGAUCAGCCACACUGGGACUGAGACACGGCCCAGACUCCUACGGGAGGCAGCAGUGGGGAAUAUUGGACAAUGGGCGAAAGCCUGAUCCAGCAAUGCCGCGUGAGUGAUGAAGGCCUUAGGGUUGUAAAGCUCUUUUACCCGGGAUGAUAAUGACAGUACCGGGAGAAUAAGCUCCGGCUAACUCCG
rnacentral:rRNA from 1 species